GCCAGCAAGAGCUGCUCUCAGGGAAAGGCAGUGCCUGUUUACCUGCCCUGCUCAGCCAGUCCAGGGAGGACAGGAGAGCAGUUAAAUGGUUUGCCUUCCUCAAAAUAUACCAUUUUCCUGUAACAUGUCUGGAAAGAGAGAAGGGAAUCCUAUUGUCAUUCCCAUUGGUGAAAGUCAAAUGUAAGGAUCUGGAUGACAUCCAGUAAAAGAACUAAAACCAGUCCUGUGUCAAGACAGUGUAACCACCAGGGGAUUGCAGAUGCCAAGCACAGGACAUAAAGAUGAAUGAACUGGAUACUCUGGCAUCUCCUUUGUUGGCUAUCUGGGCUGUGGAUUCAGGCAUGCAGG